AGUGAACGCUGGCGGCAGGCCUAAUACAUGCAAGUCGAACGGCAGCACAGCAGAGCUUGCUCUGUGGGUGGCGAGUGGCGGACGGGUGAGGAAUACAUGGGAAUCUGCCCAGUCGUGGGGGAUAACGUAGGGAAACUUACGCUAAUACCGCAUGCGCCCUUCGGGGGAAAGCCGGGGACCUUCGGGCCUGGCGCGAUUGGAUGAGCCCAUGUCGGAUUAGCUAGUUGGCGGGGUAAUGGCCCACCAAGGCGACGAUCCGUAGCUGGUCUGAGAGGAUGAUCAGCCACACUGGAACUGAGACACGGUCCAGACUCCUACGGGAGGCAGCAGUAGGGAAUAUUGGACAAUGGGCGCAAGCCUGAUCCAGCCAUGCCGCGUGAGUGAAGAAGGCCCUCGGGUUGUAAAGCCCUGUCUUAUGGGAAGAAGUCAGUGACGGUACCAUAGGAGGAAGCCACGGCUAACUACGUG
rnacentral:rRNA from 1 species